rnacentral:lncRNA from 1 species
AUGCUACUGGUCGUUUACAGCUUACCCACCAGCCUGUGCCCCCACCGUGGAAAGUCAACACUAGGACAGAAGGCUUUAUCCACCUGCGUGUGGUCUGAGAUGGAAAACGCAGUUCACCUCACGGAGUUUGGAACUGCUUGCUACAGGGGUUGCAGAAUUAUCCAAAGAAAAGAAAGCUGAUUUUUUUAAAUGAUAGCUAGAGACAUCUUUGAAGACAGUUGAAUCUGGGUUGGCAAGGCAAAAAGUCAAACAGCAGAUCAAAACAAGAGAAGAAAACUGACUAAAAUAAAAGUGAUGAUAUGUUCA